AUCGGUGGAAAUUGAAGAAAAUGAAGAGUAGAAUGUAAAAAUGGUGUUUAGAAGUGAGAAAAGUGGGAAAAGAUGAGAUUUUGGAGGUCUUGUUGGUGCAAAAAUGGUGGUUUUCGGCGCUGCAGUGGUUGGGAGAGGGUGGGUGUGCGAAAUGAGAGAGAAAAAGUUGGUUUUAUAGGGUAGGGUUGGGCGCGUAAUCGAUUACGAGGUUGAUGUAAUCGAUUACCAGGGGUCUGUUGCAAUUUUCUCAGCCAGCAAGCUCUGGUAAUCGAUUACA
rnacentral:lncRNA from 1 species